CCCUUAGAUGUUCUGGGCUGCACGCGUGUUACAAUCGGGAGUACAACAAGAUUGCAAAUCCUAGUGGAUGAGUGGUUCUUCGAAAUUUUCUGAAGACUGGGAUAGUUGAUUGAAAUUAUUCAACUCAAACGAGGAAUUCCUUGUAAUUGUAAUUCAUUAUAUUGUAAUGAAUACGUCCCUGCCCUUUGUACACACCGCCCGUCGCUCCUACCGAUUGAACGAUCCGGUGAAUUAUUUGGAGUAACUCUGGAAGUUGCAGAACUUCCUAUGUCACGAAAUUUUGUAAACCUUAUCGUUUAGAGGAAGGAAAAGUCGUAACA
rnacentral:rRNA from 1 species